UUGAAGCAAGUUGCUCCCAGUUGACUUUUGAGAUCUGUCGUGUUUGCCUGCAGCUUGGCCAGGAAGCAAAAAGUAAGCCUCGUUGUUCUCGUGCAUUGAAGUAUACUACUAUAUUGUUAGAACAUCUAAUGAUCAGCAAAUUCUUAAUGACAAGAGCUUCUUUUAUCUGUCCACCCCCUAUUAAGUCUGCCUCUCCUAUUGUAGAGAUGAGCCUUAAAGGUAGAGGUUGAGAGUUGGUCAGGAAAAGGCAAAUAAGAAUGGAAGAGGAGAAACUAGACCUUCCCAAUGAGAUAUGGGCCAUACAUCUGCACACUGUCUCCAUCUGCCAUCCAAUCUGGCCACCCAAAUUGUUCCACUUAGCAUGGAGAGUCCCUGGGGAGAGUCCCAGGACACAGUCCGAGGCAACACCUGGGUCCCCUCAGCCACUGAUAAGUCCUUUGUAUCUCUGGAUGUUUCCUGAAAAGGCUGGAUGCUUCCAGUUCAGAAUCCCCGCCCCCACUCCCAUCUAAGGAGAUGUCAUAUAAUUCCAGAAGCCAGCCUCACCUUUAAAGCGUCAAGCCCCUUCCCAAACACCUCUCAAAUCGCAAGUCACCUGGAUCCUCAGAGGGCUACACGUCUCAGCCUGCCUGCACCACCCCAGAGGUCCCCAGUGGAUGGAGAAUGCCUAACUGCUUGCGGUACCCAGAUCUCGGCUGAGAUUUCUCCCCUCUGUCCUGCAACCUGAGCUGUGUGUGGUUUAGUCUAAUUCCUUCCGAGUCUGUGCAGCCCUCGCUGGAACCGAUUCUAAGCUAUCUGGUGCCCUCUGCUGGACAACUGCAAUCAUGGCCAAAGUCCAGUUUCCCAGAGUCCCAGGGAAGCAGAGGAAACACCUCCCCAGAUUAUUUUAAUUCUCUCCAAUUCCAACCUGCCCCUAUUUGCACUAAAAGGAUUCCAGGUGUGUUAUGAGGUUUGCAUCAUGUGGUGAGAAGAAUUCAGGACUAUGAACUAGCUCUAAUUCAAUUAAGCCCCGAGCUUUGUGUCCUAGGCAAAUUACUCAUGCUGUUUCCUCAGUUGUAAAAGAGCAAUGACCAACUGCCUUGGAGGUUGGUUACCUGGAUUAAAUAUGUUAAUGGAUGUAGAGCUCCUAAAUGUAGCCAACCCCAAAGAUGGGACACAAUUUUAUCUCUAUGACUCUGUCAUUCAUGAUGUUAUUAAAUUCAAUCUAAAAUUAAAUCUGUCUAUCAUGAUGACUGCACCACCUCAAAAAAUACUGCUGUCACAUGUGGGUCCAUUUCUUCUUUCUGCCCUAGAAUUGUGUCUGUGCGAUAAAAAGGACUUUGUUCCACCCAUAUUCCAACCCCAAUCUGCCUGUAGUAAAGACAGAUGGCAGCUCAAUGGUCUCUAGAAUGAUCAUUCCUAUGUUGCAUUUGCCCAGAGGAUGGGUGGUAAGAAGCACCCUGGACAUUUUCCAUCCUAGCCUGCCCCUCUAGGGGUGUGAAUGUCCACCAGCCACUUAGAGGUCAUAUGGUUCUAGAAAGAACCUUUAGUGGUCCACAGCCAUCCAGCCAGAUGUUCAAUGAGCUGUCAAAUUAUUGGAGCUUGAGCUCUCAGAUGAAGUGUAAGAGUAGAAAGGUCAUGAGGGUCCCAAAGAUGCUGUGUCUAUCUUAUGCUACUAUCCGCCUAUAUGAAUUGACCUCUGAGCCUCCCAAGUGUUCCUCAAUCUACACCUUGUAGGCGGUCUGCCUAUGCCUGCUGCAGCCCUCCCCACCUCCAAGAGUUACCAGAGAGACUCUAUAAGCUGGAAACAGUAAACUAAAGCUCAGAGAUGUAUGGCAGACUCACGUCCCUUUAGACACAACAGUAAACACCCCCCCGCCAAAAAAAAACAUAACUCAUUUUCUCAGCCACCUUUGCAGCUAGGGGUGAAUAUGUGAUACGAAU
rnacentral:lncRNA from 1 species